ACUUAUUCGCUGAUCUUCUUGCAACCCGAUGUAGCUGUUAUACUGCCUCGUUGUAAGUAUCACAGUGUCAUUGGGUCGCAAGCGAUCUCAGCUUGCAUUGACCC
rnacentral:pre_miRNA from 1 species